AUUGAACGCUGGCGGCAUGCUUUACACAUGCAAGUCGAACGGUAACAGGGAGCUUGCUCCGCUGACGAGUGGCGAACGGGUGAGUAAUAUAUCGGAACGUACCCAAGAGUGGGGGAUAACGUAGCGAAAGUUACGCUAAUACCGCAUACGAUCCAAGGAUGAAAGCAGGGGAUCUUCGGACCUUGUGCUCCUGGAGCGGCCGAUAUCUGAUUAGCUAGUUGGUGAGGUAAAGGCUCACCAAGGCGACGAUCAGUAGCUGGUCUGAGGGGACGACCAGCCACACUGGAACUGAGACACGGUCCAGACUCCUACGGGAGGCAGCAGUGGGGAAUUUUGGACAAUGGGCGCAAGCCUGAUCCAGCAAUGCCGCGUGAGUGAAGAAGGCCUUCGGGUUGUAAAGCUCUUUUGUCAGGGAAGAAACGGGAGUGGCUAAUAUCCAUUCCUAAUGACGGUACCUGAAGAAUAAGCACCGGCUAACUACGUGCCAGCAGCCGCGGUAAGAC
rnacentral:rRNA from 1 species